GAUGAACGCUGGCGGCGUGCCUAAUACAUGCAAGUCGAGCGAACAGACGAGGAGCUUGCUCCUCUGACGUUAGCGGCGGACGGGUGAGUAACACGUGGAUAACCUACCUAUAAGACUGGGAUAACUUCGGGAAACCGGAGCUAAUACCGGAUAAUAUAUUGAACCGCAUGGUUCAAUAGUGAAAGACGGUUUUGCUGUCACUUAUAGAUGGAUCCGCGCCGCAUUAGCUAGUUGGUAAGGUAACGGCUUACCAAGGCAACGAUGCGUAGCCGACCUGAGAGGGGGGUUCGGCCACCCGGAACUGGGACACCGUCCCAAGCCCCAAGGGAGGGCAACGUAGGGGAAUCUUCCGAAAGGGGGAAAAGCCGGAGGGAGAAACGCCGGGGAGGGGAGAAGGUCUUUCGGACCGAAAAACCCUUUUUUUGGGAAAAAAAAAAUGUGAAGGAAACAAGGCCGGUUUUACGGGAACCAAAUAAAAAGGCCCGGCUAAACUAGUU
rnacentral:rRNA from 1 species